AUGUGACCUUCACGCUGUAGUACUGCUACUGCUACCGGGUCAGAGUUCUUCUCCAGGGGAACAUGUUCCAGAUGUUCCAAACUGUGUGGACCACUAGACAUCAUCUGUCUUUGGUUCUGGAUGUCCAGAGACGUCUUGAUGAUUUUUCCAGUGCGCUUGAAGACAUCGUGGACUCCACACGUCAGCAGAUGAAGACGGAGAGACGUGAGGAGCGCGAGCAGAAUAAAACAGCGCUGGUCUUGUGGACGAAGACGUCUCUUCAUUGCUCCACUGCACACGUGACCCCCUGAGGUCUGGACCGGGGACACGUGACCCCCUGAGGUCUGGACCGGGGACACGUGACCCCCUGAGGUCUGGACCGGGGACACGUGACCCCCUGAGGUCUGGACCGGGGACACGUGACCCCCUGAGGUCUGGACCGGGGACACGGACACUGAACUCUGAGCAACAUGAAGUCAGUCAGCUGCUUCAGGACAAAAGAGGGUGAACGAUGUGAAUCAGAAGGUCUCUGAAGAACACGAAGGUUUGUGAGUACAAACGUUUUGUAAUUAGUUUAAUCGAGUUUAAACAGAGAAACCUACUCGUUAUUUAUCUGUUAUUAUGUGAUUUUACUGAUCCGGCUGCUUGAGAUCAAAGUUUGACACCUGGUUAUCAGCAGAAUGAGGACGGACUUUAUUGUGAUCAUUUCUUUUCUUUCAGGUACAAUAACGACGUUAUUAAGAGAUUUAAAGUUAAAAUCGUUCCUCUUUCUGUUUGAUCUGAUUUUUUGGGACCGUUGCUGCUGUCUGUGUUUUAUUUUGGCGGUGCAUUGAGAGGCUCCAUCACAUUUAACACUUUCAAUACUCAAGUUUCUUAGUAAUAAACUCCAGCCUGUUAUAAAAUACGUGCUUGUUGUUUGUGUGUUGUUGUUGCCACGGUGACGCGGCCCAAAACACCACAAGGCGACUUCAGUAGGAUAUUUACUGCAGGAUGAAACCUUCAAGUUGCACCUGAAGCACCGAGCUCAGUAGUUUGUGUUGUUUGGAGACGACUCUGCGUUAACGUUCAUACGGUUAAUAAACCAAGUUAUUUAUUACUUAUUUGUUUGUUUAUUACAAACUUUUCACU
ensembl:lncRNA